rnacentral:rRNA from 3 species
GGGCGUAAAGCGCACGCAGGCGGUCUGUCAAGUCGGAUGUGAAAUCCCCGGGCUCAACCUGGGAACUGCAUUCGAAACUGGCAGGCUUGAGUCUUGUAGAGGGGGGUAGAAUUCCAGGUGUAGCGGUGAAAUGCGUAGAGAUCUGGAGGAAUACCGGUGGCGAAGGCGGCCCCCUGGACAAAGACUGACGCUCAGGUGCGAAAGCGUGGGGAGCAAACAGGAUUAGAUACCCUGGUAGUCCACGCCGUAAACGAUGUCUACUUGGAGGUUGUGCCCUUGAGGCGUGGCUUCCGGAGCUAACGCGUUAAGUAGACCGCCUGGGGAGUACGGCCGCAAGGUUAAAACUCAAAUGAAUUGACGGGGGCCCGCACAAGCGGUGGAGCAUGUGGUUUAAUUCGAUGCAACGCGAAGAACC